AACGAACGCUGGCGGCAGGCUUAACACAUGCAAGUCGAGCGCCCCGCAAGGGGAGCGGCAGGCGGGUGAGUAACGCGUGGGAAUCUACCCAUCUCUACGGAAUAACGCAUGGAAACGUGUGCUAAUACCGUAUACGUCCUUCGGGAGAAAGAUUUAUCGGAGAUGGAUGAGCCCGCGUUGGAUUAGCUAGUUGGUGGGGUAAAGGCCUACCAAGGCGACGAUCCAUAGCUGGUCUGAGAGGAUGAUCAGCCACACUGGGACUGAGACACGGCCCAGACUCCUACGGGAGGCAGCAGUGGGGAAUAUUGGACAAUGGGCGCAAGCUUGAUCCAGCCAUGCCGCGUGAGUGAUGAAGGCCCUAGGGUUGUAAAGCUCUUUCACCGGUGAAGGUAAUGACGGUAACCGGAGAAGAAGCCCCGGCUAACUUCGUGCCAGCCGCCGCAGUAAGAC
rnacentral:rRNA from 1 species